rnacentral:rRNA from 1 species
UACGAGAGGCCCAAACGUUAUUCGGAAUCACUGGGCUUAAAGAGUUCGUAGGCGGCGCGGAAAGUGGGGUGUGAAAUCCCUCGGCUCAACCGAGGAACUGCAUUCCAUACUACCGCGCUAGAGGAGGCUAGAGGUGAGCAGAACUGAUGGUGGAGCGGUGAAAUGCGUUGAUAUCAUCAGGAAUACCGGAGGCGAAGGCGGCUCACUGGGACCUUUCUGACGCUGAGGAACGAAAGCUAGGGGAGCAAACGGG